rnacentral:rRNA from 1 species
UCCAGAGUUUGAUCAUGGCUCAGAUUGAACGCUGGCGGCAGGCCUAACACAUGCAAGUCGAGCGGUAGCACAGAGAGCUUGCUCUCGGGUGACGAGCGGCGGACGGGUGAGUAAUGUCUGGGAAACUGCCUGAUGGAGGGGGAUAACUACUGGAAACGGUAGCUAAUACCGCAUAACGUCGCAAGACCAAAGUGGGGGACCUUCGGGCCUCAUGCCAUCAGAUGUGCCCAGAUGGGAUUAGCUAGUAGGUGGGGUAACGGCUCACCUAGGCGACGAUCCCUAGCUGGUCUGAGAGGAUGACCAGCCACACUGGAACUGAGACACGGUCCAGACUCCUACGGGAGGCAGCAGUGGGGAAUAUUGCACAAUGGGCGCAAGCCUGAUGCAGCCAUGCCGCGUGUGUGAAGAAGGCCUUCGGGUUGUAAAGCACUUUCAGCGGGGAGGAAGGCGUUGAGGUUAAUAACCUUGUCGAUUGACGUUACCCGCAGAAGAAGCACCGGCUAACUCCGUGCCAGCAGCCGCGGUAAUACGGAGGGUGCAAGCGUUAAUCGGAAUUACUGGGCGUAAAGCGCACGCAGGCGGUCUGUCAAGUCGGAUGUGAAAUCCCCGGGCUCAACCUGGGAACUGCAUUCGAAACUGGCAGGCUAGAGUCUUGUAGAGGGGGGUAGAAUUCCAGGUGUAGCGGUGAAAUGCGUAGAGAUCUGGAGGAAUACCGGUGGCGAAGGCGGCCCCCUGGACAAAGACUGACGCUCAGGUGCGAAAGCGUGGGGAGCAAACAGGAUUAGAUACCCUGGUAGUCCACGCCGUAAACGAUGUCGAUUUGGAGGUUGUGCCCUUGAGGCGUGGCUUCCGGAGCUAACGCGUUAAAUCGACCGCCUGGGGAGUACGGCCGCAAGGUUAAAACUCAAAUGAAUUGACGGGGGCCCGCACAAGCGGUGGAGCAUGUGGUUUAAUUCGAUGCAACGCGAAGAACCUUACCUGGUCUUGACAUCCACAGAACUUUCCAGAGAUGGAUUGGUGCCUUCGGGAACUGUGAGACAGGUGCUGCAUGGCUGUCGUCAGCUCGUGUUGUGAAAUGUUGGGUUAAGUCCCGCAACGAGCGCAACCCUUAUCCUUUGUUGCCAGCGGUUCGGCCGGGAACUCAAAGGAGACUGCCAGUGAUAAACUGGAGGAAGGUGGGGAUGACGUCAAGUCAUCAUGGCCCUUACGACCAGGGCUACACACGUGCUACAAUGGCAUAUACAAAGAGAAGCGACCUCGCGAGAGCAAGCGGACCUCAUAAAGUAUGUCGUAGUCCGGAUUGGAGUCUGCAACUCGACUCCAUGAAGUCGGAAUCGCUAGUAAUCGUAGAUCAGAAUGCUACGGUGAAUACGUUCCCGGGCCUUGUACACACCGCCCGUCACACCAUGGGAGUGGGUUGCAAAAGAAGUAGGUAGCUUAACCUUCGGGAGGGCGCUUACCACUUUGUGAUUCAUGACUGGGGUGAAGUCGUAACAAGGUAACCGUAGGGGAACCUGCGGCU